rnacentral:rRNA from 1 species
AAAGGAAUUGACGGGGGCCCGCACAAGCGGUGGAGCAUGUGGUUCAAUUCGACGCAACGCGAAGAACCUUACCUGGAUUUGACAUCCUUUGACAGUUCCGGAAACGGAAUCUUCCCUGCUUGCAGGGACAGAGUGACAGGUGCUGCAUGGCUGUCGUCAGCUCGUGUCGUGAGAUGUUGGGUUAAGUCCCGCAACGAGCGCAACCCUUGUCUUUAGUUGCCCAUAUUUAGUUAGGCACUCUAGAGAUACUGCCUCGGUUAACGGGGAGGAAGGUGGGGACGACGUCAAGUCAUCAUGGCCUUUAUAUCCAGGGCUACACACGUGCUACAAUGGACGGUACAAAGAGCUGCUAAUCCGCGAGGAGGAGCCAAUCUCAAAAAGCCGUUCUCAGUUCGGAUCGGAGUCUGCAACCCGACUCCGUGAAGUUGGAAUCGCUAGUAAUCGUGGAUCAGAAUGCCACGGUGAAUACGUUCCCGGGCCUUGUACACACCGCCCGU